rnacentral:lncRNA from 13 species
UUAGCUAUGCUAAUGCUAACUUAACCAGCCCGCUUGCUGACUAAUAACAACACCGUAAAUAUGAAAUUAAAUCGGAUAACUAACUAGACGACAGAAAUGGGUUUAAAACACAGUGGCUAAUAUACACCAAAGCGUCGAAAGAGCUAUAUUGGUUCGGCUAAUUUGUCUAGCAAGCUACCGAGGUGUCUGACUCACUGUUGCUGCUGAUGAAAGAAGCGUUCCGUCCACUAGAUUAUACGUCACACCAACAGCAUAACCAUAAAUUCCCAGACCGCCAUCUGCUGACUGGAGUGGGUAACGCAGACCGGGGGAGGCUGCUGCUGCACAAGUGGCUGUAUGACUUUUUUCAGCAAAGAUGGCGGACAGAAAUACUCAGAGGGGUACCCCUACACAGACCUGAACUGGAUCAAAGAUGGCGGACAGAAAUACUAGGAUGGAAGCAAAUGUAAGGGAUUAUAACGUCAUAACGAAUCAUGCAAAAAACAUGUACAGUUGACAGGAAUGUUAGUUAAUGGAGAGACAAACGAUUAUGCUUUUUUUAAUCAUAGUUCAUUUACGAAAAUCGUGAUUUAGCCAGGUAGCUGGUCUAGUUUUAUGGGUGUUGUGACAUGAGUAUGAAAUUGUCACUCUGGUUGUUUUAGGGACACCUUAAACAACCCACAAACCAGGCGAUCGUUUUGUGAAAAAGUGGAUGUAUAGAAUCUAGCUGGCUGAAGAAUUUACUGCAAAUUGAAUGUACAAAUUUGUAUUUGCCAUGAAAUAACGUAUGUUAUUGUGCAUUGGAUGACUGUGCAGUGGAUGAUUAAAAUCCCUGUAUGCCCAUGGAUGUGUUGCUAGCUAUCUAUUCGAUCUGUGUAUGGACCCAAAUGUUUGGUAUACAUAUUACUUCAGAACCUAGCUAUGAACCUCAGCUAUCAUAGCCAGUUGUAUCAACUUCAAGUUGAGUAUAAUAUAAUAUCAUGUUUUGCCAAGGAUUCAAGUCAAAUAUACAUGUAGUUAUUACCAUGCAUGAGAUCCCCACAUUGUAGCCUGUACAUUUAAUAUAUUCACUGAUCAUGUACUCUACCUUGGCAAAUUAAUGUGCAGUUUAGGUAUGAAUGUCUUUGAGGUGAUCAAAUUCCUGUCUUUGAAUGACGCCGUGUCUGCAUGUAUGUAUUACAAUUAUACACUUCAACAGUGUUUACCAAUCUUGGUCCUGGGACAUCAAUGGUUACACAUUGUAACUAAUAGACUAGAAACAGGAUUGAACUAGUUAAUUCAUAUAUACAGAAAUAUAAUUUUUUUAAACACUACACUACACUUCCUAUGCAUCAUGUAAAUACUCUUAACACUGGUUCAUCUCACCAUCUAAUGCCCUUCAUCUGCAUUGAUCUGGUAAACACAGGGUAGGUGGAGUAUUUCAUCACAUUACACUUCAUUUCAACCAGUAGAGAAUGUGAAACGCUUUAUUGAAAAGCUCAUUAUCCAAGUGUUAUAAAUACAAGUUCAAUCUGUCCAUCAAUACACAUCUGUUGUGAAUUAUAAAAACAGAGGAAGAAAGAGGUGGAGAGAGAGGUGUUAAAGACAGAAAGGGAAAGAGAAGGAGGAGAGAGAGGUGUUAAAGACAGAAAGGGAAAGAGGUAAACACAUAGGAGCAGGGAAGGCAGCACAUGAUUAAUGAAUCACAGUGCUACAUAAAUGUUCUCUCAGUUCAUCACAAUUACAUAACCAUUGGGCCGAUUAGAGACACUGUUAUCUUAAAAGCAGGUGAGGUGGCGAUGAUGGGACUGGGGGUUGGCAUCCUCUCACAUCAAAACAUACCUGCAGACCAGAGACAGAUGGAGAGAGAGAGCAUGUUUAAGCCUUGUGUAUUUAUUUUUUAAUCUAACAAUGUUAACCAUCAACCAGGAGGUGAAAUGCAAAACUGACCUGGGAUCAUUAACUCUGGGACUACUGCAUCUCUAUCUGUAUUUCAAUGUAAAGCAUCUCUUUAAUAAUACUUCCUGUAUAAUAUAAACUGACCUUGGAUCAUUAACUCUGGGACGACUGCAUCUCUAUCUGUAUUUCAAUGUAAAGCAUCUCGUUAAUAAUACUUCCUGUUGACCUGACCAAGUGACCUCUCACCUCUGAUCAUGCUGUGUCCUCUAUGUAGCCAGUUCAGAUGCAGGAGGGGUUCACCGACACAGCUGAUAUAACCUAGAUAAUUUAGGGAGAAGGGGAGAGAGGGAUGAAGUGAAGGAGAGAGACCGUUAUUGAGAAAAUAAGGUAGUUAAAGUGACAGUGUUCAACAGGAAUCUGUGUGAGGCCUCACCUGGUGUCCACACCACACUAAGUGGCUGCAGAGUACUUUAUGCUGAAAAACUAUAUCUGCUUUUGGUUAGGUUAUAAUGAUGGUAGAACCCUUUUUACGUCCUAAAAAUAAUGUAUGCAUUGCAUGCUU